UACAGAGGGGGCAAGCGUUGUUCGGAAUUACUGGGCGUAAAGGGCGCGUAGGCGGCCUUCUAAGUCAGACGUGAAAUCCCCCGGCUUAACCUGGGAACUGCGUCUGAUACUGGGAGGCUAGAGUGCGGGAGAGGGAUGCGGAAUUCCAGGUGUAGCGGUGAAAUGCGUAGAUAUCUGGAGGAACACCGGUGGCGAAGGCGGCAUCCUGGACCGACACUGACGCUGAGGAGCGAAAGCGUGGGGAGCGAACAGG
rnacentral:rRNA from 1 species